rnacentral:lncRNA from 1 species
CAAUCAACAAAUUAAUUUUAAAAAUGAAUGCUUUAGUUAAUUGUGCUUUCAUAUCAUUUUUCUGUUUCAAAAGGAGUUCAUCUGGAUCUGUGUAAUAAUGGGACCACAGGAAUAGAGCCACAAUGAAACUAGUUCAAUCCCAUCAUUUUACAGCUUUUCCAGAAGAUCCUGAAGAAAGUGAAUUUUCACCAGGAUGCCCCAAAUCCAAACCUAAGGUCUAUCAGAGGCACCUUGAAAAACUGGCAAUAGGAUCCAUCUACCCAUCCAGAAUGAUUGAAGUCCAGUGGCAAAAGUCAAGAUGACUGGCAAUGCUUGGGAUGCAGUGGAUGACCUCAAGGGCAGCUAGAUGGCAUGAUGGAUAGAGGGCCCCACCUAAAAUCAAGAAGAUUUAUCUUCAUGAGUUCAAAUCUCAAAUCUGUCCUCAGAUCCUUCCUACCCCUAUGACUGGAUGGAAAAUGAAAGGAGGAAAAGAAGAAAGGAAGAAUGGAAGGAAGAGAAGGAAGGAAGGAAGAAAAGAAGGAAGGAUAAUGUCCAUUAAUAGAGAAAAGAUAAAAGGAGUUGCAUCAUUUAACUUUUUGCCUUGUCAGUUAUCAUUGUACCAUUCUACUAGCAGUCCUAUCCUAGUCUUGAUUUUUUUCAAGAUUUUCUUAAAUAUGUUUAAAAUCUUGUUUGUUAUCCUUAGUAUUCACCAGCAAUUUUAGCUCAUUUUUCAGGUUAGUUGUCCCGCUGAUCUGUUUGAUGAGAGAUUAUUCCUAUCUUUUCUCUGCUUCUCUGAUUGAUGUCUUCUUUCCCAAUAUCUGGGGAUGUAUGCCAAUCUGCAUAUGUCUUGCCUGCUUUUUUUUUUAGCCACUAUGAAUAAUAUAAUAUUGUGAUUUAUCACAAGACUUCUGUCAUUUAUAGAGUCUGGUAAGCAUUUAGAUCUAUAAAGAAUCUU